UAGCUGAGUGCUUUGUUCACUUUGAAUAUACUGGUUAGGGCUGAACAAAAAUUUACUAAACUGGAUCUUUUCAACCCAAUCUAAACAAAAAGCUAUGGUUUUAUGACUUUUAUGGUCGAUUUUGGUUCUUGGAUUAUCUAUGCUGGAUUAUUUUGGCUUGAAGAUAUGGAAAUCCAGUAGAACCAAGCCAAAACUAUAAAGCUAUG
rnacentral:misc_RNA from 1 species